CAUAGGCCGCCUCGCCUCGUCGGCGCCGGGCGCUCUAGCAGCCGGUCGCCGGGCCGCCUCCGCCGCGAGCUGCCUCGGUUUCGCGUGCCGUGCUCCGCGUCCGCCGCCGUUGCGCUGCGGAGGCUGCGGGAUGUGCCUUGUUUGUGUCACGGUGGGGCGCCGUGUUGGCCUCGUACUGUUGGCCGCGGCCGUUUGACGCUGACCCGUGAGGUGUUCGACGGAAUGCCGAAGCGCAGCAAGGCGGUGGAAUCGUGUCUUCCGCAAGCCAAGCUGUAAUGCAGUGGGUGUUCUUUGCCCCUGAAAGCGACCAUGAUGCAUGAUUGUGCAACUCUGCAGCGGGUGUCUCUGAAUCGGAAUAACGCUUGCGGAUUCGGAUCCAGAUUGACUGACCGGCACAAAGCGCGUGAGACGGAAAGGGCAUUAACUUUGCAGCAUGUCGUUUCCGUAUCGGAAUAACACGUGCGAAGUUGGAAACCAGGUAUGGCUGGUGCAAAACACGUGAGCCAGAGAAGGCGAUAAGUUUGCAGCCUGUAAGUGGUGCAAACUUUAAUUAUGCUCAUCAGUGCGUUCCGUUAGACUCUGUGCGUUUCCGUAACGGAAAAACGCUUGUGAAACCAGAUCAAGGAUGAGUGGCACAAACCGAGUGAGCUAGGAAAGGGCGUUUCCAUAUCAGAAUAACGCAUGCAAAGCUGAGUUAGGGAUAAGUGGCACAAACCACGUGAGCCGGAAAAGGCAUUAACUUUGCAGCCUGUAAGUGAAAGCCACAAUCAGUGGAAGCUGCACGGAUAUUUGAUGCUAACUUUCAUGAUAGAAGCACUGACGAAAAGGAACUCAGAAACCACUGUAAGCAUGAAUAAUUUCUAACUUGUAGUCUCAUACUCUUAUGUCGAUUUGUACAUGAAGUGCUUUUAAUAGUGGAAAUUUGAUAUGGUUAGUGCUCUAGAGCAACAAGCACUACGCAUCUAGAGUUCUAACAAACUUAGGUUACUGCUGAAGUAUGUAGACUGCCCACCUUUGCUAAAAAGAUGAGCUUUCGAAUAAACUAAUUGUUUCAUGGGGAAACAUGCUAUCGAGAGUCACGGUAAACCUCAUGGUUUCUUUCACGAAUCCAAAGAUGUGACGCAUGAUGAUCAGGAUCUCUUUAUGCCUUCAUUCAAAUGACAAAAGCAUUGUGUCUGCUGACUUUUGUUUGACCUGUCAUUUGGCGCUAUGAACAUUGGUCUAGGACAGUGGGACUAGAUAGUACUCCCUCUGUAAACAAAUGUAAGAGUGUUUAGAUCACUAUUUUAGUGAUCUAAACGCUCUUAUAUUAGUUUACGGAGGGAGUAUUUUUUUUCUACCCCUGAUAUUUUAGUUGUUUGAAGACAGUCAAAGUCUCUGGUAGUGGAGGACUAGUGUUGGAAGGUUUUCUUGUCUGUUCAACGAACAAUCAUCCGCGUGAAGGCUGAAAUAUCAUGUGUUGUGGCCAGAAGAGCACAUAUUCAAUGAUUCUGGGGGCAAAUGGAAAAGUAGUCACUUAGUUCGCCGAAUUCCUGACUGACCAACCCAAUUCUUGCGUUUGCAGUAUCACACUACUUGCCUGCUUGGUAAAACCAGUGUUGAGUAGCGAAAGGGCGAAAGGAAACUGCUAGCCUGCUACUAGAUAACUAAUGAAUUUGGGUUGAAGUCGUGGAGACCAACACCACACCUAACCUAAUAAUAGCCGAUUGGAUGGAAGAAUGGAAGGACUGGUAGGUAGGAGGAGGAUGCCAUGGGGAGUUUGGAGCUUUAUGCAGGCAUAUAAGGGGCAUGUAGGUAGGAGGAAACAAAGAGGGAGUUGGGAGAGAGGAGUCAUGGAUAAGUGCUGUUCAUGCUCGUUGCCAUGUGGUGUGGGGGCUGGCUAAUUGGCCUUGGCCACGCCUCCCUGGAAGAUAUAACAGCAAAA